UCUCGGUUUAAGUCUGGGCAUUGCCACUAA
rnacentral:piRNA from 1 species